rnacentral:rRNA from 1 species
AUUGAACGCUGGCGGCAAGCCUAACACAUGCAAGUCGAACGAGUGGCGGACGGGUGAGUAAUGUCUGGGAAAAUGCCUGAUGGAGGGGGAUAACUACUGGAAACGGUAGCUAAUACCGCAUACCAUCGGAUGUGCCCAGAUGGGAUUAGCUAGUAGGUGGGGUAAAGGCUCACCUAGGCGACGAUCCCUAGCUGGUCUGAGAGGAUGACCAGCCACACUGGGACUGAGACACGGUCCAGACUCCUACGGGAGGCAGCAGUGGGGAAUAUUGGACAAUGGGCGCAAGCCUGAUGCAGCCAUGCCGCGUGUAUGAAGAAGGCCUUCGGGUUGUAAAGUACUUUCAGCGGGGAGGCGUUACCCGCAGAGAAAGCACCGGCUAACUCCGUGCCAGCAGCCGCGGUAAUUC